UGAUAGAUUUAUCUUUUCGGGAAUGUC
rnacentral:piRNA from 1 species